GACGAACGCUGUGCGGCGUGCUUAACACAUGCAAGUCGAACGGAAAGGCCCUGCUUUUGUGGGGUGCUCGAGUGGCGAACGGGUGAGUAACACGUGAGUAACCUGCCCUUGACUUUGGGAUAACUUCAGGAAACUGGGGCUAAUACCGGAUAGGAGCUCCUGCUGCAUGGUGGGGGUUGGAAAGUUUCGGCGGUUGGGGAUGGACUCGCGGCUUAUCAGCUUGUUGGUGGGGUAGUGGCUUACCAAGGCUUUGACGGGUAGCCGGCCUGAGAGGGUGACCGGCCACAUUGGGACUGAGAUACGGCCCAGACUCCUACGGGAGGCAGCAGUGGGGAAUAUUGCACAAUGGGCGGAAGCCUGAUGCAGCAACGCCGCGUGCGGGAUGACGGCCUUCGGGUUGUAAACCGCUUUCGCCUGUGACGAAGCGUGAGUGACGGUAAUGGGUAAAGAAGCACCGGCUAACUACGUGCCAGCAGCCGCGGUGAUACGUAGGGUGCGAGCGUUGUCCGGAUUUAUUGGGCGUAAAGGGCUCGUAGGUGGUUGAUCGCGUCGGAAGUGUAAUCUUGGGGCUUAACCCUGAGCGUGCUUUCGAUACGGGUUGACUUGAGGAAGGUAGGGGAGAAUGGAAUUCCUGGUGGAGCGGUGGAAUGCGCAGAUAUCAGGAGGAACACCAGUGGCGAAGGCGGUUCUCUGGGCCUUUCCUGACGCUGAGGAGCGAAAGCGUGGGGAGCGAACAGGCUUAGAUACCCUGGUAGUCCACGCUGUAAACGGUGGGUACUAGGUGUGGGGUCCAUUCCACGGGUUCCGUGCCGUAGCUAACGCUUUAAGUACCCCGCCUGGGGAGUACGGCCGCAUGGCUAAAACUCAAAGGAAUUGACGGGGCCCCGCACAAGCGGCGGAGCAUGCGGAUUAAUUCGAUGCAACGCGUAGAACCUUACCUGGGUUUGACAUGGAUCGGGAGUGCUCAGAGAUGGGUGUGCCUCUUUUGGGGUCGGUUCACAGGUGGUGCAUGCCUGUCGUCAGCUCGUGUCGUGAGAUGUUGGGUUAAGUCCCGCAACGAGCGCAACCCUUGUUCACUGUUGCCAGCACGUUAUGGUGGGGACUCAGUGGAGACCGCCGGGGUCAACUCGGAGGAAGGUGGGGAUGACGUCAAGUCAUCAUGCCCCUUAUGUCCAGGGCUUCACGCAUGCUACAAUGGCUGGUACAGAGAGUGGCGAGCCUGUGAGGGUGAGCGAAUCUCGGAAAGCCGGUCUCAGUUCGGAUUGGGGUCUGCAACUCGACCUCAUGAAGUCGGAGUCGCUAGUAAUCGCAGAUCAGCAACGCUGCGGUGAAUACGUUCCCGGGGCU
rnacentral:rRNA from 1 species